UAUAAUGCAGUCGUACGCUUCUUUUUCCACCGGAGCUUGCUCCACCGGAAAAAGAAGAGUGGCGAACGGGUGAGUAACACGUGGGUAACCUGCCCAUCAGAAGGGGAUAACACUUGGAAACAGGUGCUAAUACCGUAUAACAAUCGAAACCGCAUGGUUUUGAUUUGAAAGGCGCUUUCGGGUGUCGCUGAUGGAUGGACCCGCGGUGCAUUAGCUAGUUGGUGAGGUAACGGCUCACCAAGGCCACGAUGCAUAGCCGACCUGAGAGGGUGAUCGGCCACACUGGGACUGAGACACGGCCCAGACUCCUACGGGAGGCAGCAGUAGGGAAUCUUCCGCAAUGGACGAAAGUCUGACGGAGCAACGCCGCGUGAGUGAUGAAGGCUUUCGGGUCGUAAAACUCUGUUGUUAGAGAAGAACAAGGAUGAGAGUAACUGUUCAUCCCUUGACGGUAUCUAACCAGAAAGCCACGGCUAACUACGUGCCAGCAGCCGCGGUAAUACGUAGGUGGCAAGCGUUGUCCGGAUUUAUUGGGCGUAAAGCGAGCGCAGGCGGUUUCUUAAGUCUGAUGUGAAAGCCCCCGGCUCAACCGGGGAGGGUCAUUGGAAACUGGGAGACUUGAGUGCAGAAGAGGAGAGUGGAAUUCCAUGUGUAGCGGUGAAAUGCGUAGAUAUAUGGAGGAACACCAGUGGCGAAGGCGGCUCUCUGGUCUGUAACUGACGCUGAGGCUCGAAAGCGUGGGGAGCAAACAGGAUUAGAUACCCUGGUAGUCCACGCCGUAAACGAUGAGUGCUAAGUGUUGGAGGGUUUCCGCCCUUCAGUGCUGCAGCUAACGCAUUAAGCACUCCGC
rnacentral:rRNA from 1 species